UUUGAGACAAUUGAACUUAAUGUUAUAUCUGGAAAAUAUAUUCCGUUCUGAUAUCUUUGACCAUAAUUUUGUUUGCGCCUCUUAUUAUUGCAUCUGGACUUACGUAUAGGGGAGGAAGACAAUAAUGUUGUGGACCAUACAUAGUCCAUGGUAAAAUGUUGGUGAAGGUAGGUAGUGGAAGAUGAUCCAUGACAGAGCUACUAAGCAUUUUCUAAUCAUCAGGAUGGUGUAACUUGAUUUUAAUUUCUCCCUUCAUCCCAUUUCUUUAAGUGCUAUGCUAGCUAUUCAGAUGGAUAAAAGGGGUUUUUAUGAUAUCUCCAUAUUUAUGCACUUAUCUCCUUAAUUCUUUGACAUUUUGUUUCUUGAGGAGAAUGGGGAAGGCAGCCAUUGGAAAGCCAACUGAGCAACAGGAACAGAAACAAUAAAGAUCAGCACAUACAGUGUAUUCUUCAGUGGAUGAAAGGAGUGAUACUUGCCCUACUUGUAAACAGGUAACAACAUGCCGCGAGGAAAACGAUUCAGAGA